AUAGACUAUCUUAGAUGCUGACUUGAUCUAUUGAAAAGUAGGCUGAGAAGAUAAACUGCAUGCGGAUCCAGAGUGUACACAUUGUUGACACCGCCAAUUACUAUUUAGAAAUAAUACAUAAAAGGAGGCUAUACUGCGUAAAUUGAAUACAUCCACUUAAAUGGAAUGGGAGUACUUGACUGAAUACUAAGUAGAUAGUUGACACUACUAAUAUAGCAAUUACUUCCACUCAAAUAAAGAAUAUUUACUCAUGGGACCCCAGUGAAUCCUUUUUUCAACGAUCUUAUCGGGUUCACACCACAAGCUCUUUGUCUUUAAUUCCAAGUUAUUCCCAGUAAAACUAAAAUUUUGACAUUUUGUCUGAUCUUGUCAAUGGCGUCAUAAAGGGUUCUUGGACUUUGGAUCACAUGCACCUCCCAAUAAAAUCAUAAAGGCUUAAUCAAAUUGGGCAUAUAUGCUGCAGUUUUAGAUUGAAUGACUUGUGUAUCUAAAUUCUAAUGUUAAUAAUCUUCUUCACUUACAUAAUUCAAACUAUAAGCAUCACGAAUAUUUUGUUUAUGUGAACCUUUCUAUCAUUUUUUGAUAAAGACUGUUAGGUGAUUUUUGUUACAAAAUUUAUCUUCGCAUUGCCAGUCUGGUGUUUUUCAUUAGGCAGCUGAACAGAAAAAUCAGAGAUACUAGAAGUUACUGAAAAGUAUCUCUAUGCAUGACUUGGCCUAGUAGCUAGACGCAGUAGUUUGAUAUUUUCUGAAUUACCCAGUCAGGAUCAUCCUUUCCAUAUUGGUGUGUCAUCAUCAUCCUUUCCGUAUCCAUGUGUCAUCAUCUUUACCUACUGGACACCUUAGCAAAGCUAGAAUAAUCAGCAUCUCUGGUUUUGACCUGGCCGUUUCUGCAGUUGCAAUCAGGCAACUGGAAUACUGAAUUCAAUUUAUGCAUAAUUGUUACCUGGAGAGUGCCGUCCCGUCAAAAUGCAUAUUUGCCAAAGUUACUAGCUCAGGAAACAUAUAAGAAAAAACAACCUGCAAUAAGUGGCGUUGUCUGCACUUUCUCAGAUUGUAAAACAAUUUGCGGUAUAUAGUACCCCUGAGCUUUGCAGGAGGAUAGGGUUAUAAUAAGCCAAAUGAUUUCUCACUUCUUUUUUUUGGUACAUGUGCAUUUCAAAUAAGAAGUGAGAAAUCGGUAACAGAGAAUAAAGUACAUGCUGCUUGUAUUUAUCUUCUGUGCUCUGUCAACCCCUCAUUUUGCCCUACAUAUUUUAUCAUAAGCUUCAUCUUCUGUUUUAUUUAUAUUGUGCUUAUUAUAUUACACCGGGAUCUUUACAUUUUCCAGUGCUUAAGCAAAAAUCACUGUUAUUAUUUUAACAAUUCUGAAACACAGAGGAAUCAUGAUGUAGGUACCACUCUUAUUUUUCUUUCUUUUCCAUUUUUUGUUUGUACCUUGUUGGCCUUAAUCGAUGGACUGAUUGAUUGUUUGACUUAUGUUAGUAAAAGAUGAGACUCAAAACAUAUGUAGUGAAUCAAUUUUGUAAUUGAGUUUGAGCAAGUCCUGCUAAUUGAACAGUGGGGUUUAUACAUGUCCAAGCUAGUAUGAGAUACCCUCUAUCGGUAAGUAGAAAGCUACGGCCUAUUUCGUUUUUUAAUUCUUUACUGUGAGACUAUAUACGGCGAGGUUGAUGAACUUAACGCAUGUAGACGAUGAUCUGUGGCACCUACAUGAUUUUUAUUUUUAAAGUACACCUUCUGAGCUUUAAAUAAGGCUCUUGAUAUCCUUUCUAGCAAUAGUUCUACAUCUCAUUAUUUGGAAAUAUUCAUUAACUUGUAAACAUAUGUUUUGAUCUGCAACUUUGUCUGUGUAAUUAGCUCAAAUUCUUAAUUAGAAGAAGGGGAAAACUAGAUGAGUUCUAGUAUAUUCUAUUGUAUGCACCAGCCUGUAAGGAAGUUCCACCGGUUCACACAGAUUCUAGAACCUGCCAAGAAAUGCAGUUUUCAGUGGUUUUUGUCUGAGACCAUUUCCGCGCUUGCAAGGCUGACAUGAAGUUUGUUGUCGCUUUCGGUGCAGGAAACACUUUCGAAGAAGUCGCUGCCUGGUCGAUUCAUCCAUGUAGAAUCAGAAUUUCCAGAGUAUGGCUUUUCAGAUCGCCACUCUUUCCAGCACACCGCGGUCCAGCACGCCACCUGCUUGCAGCAACUCAUGGCAGCAGUGAGGGUCUAGAUCUGCAGAUGGAAGUUUCAGAAUAUCAUGAUGUUUAGCUUCUUCCCAAGAUCCUGAUAACAUCAACCUAUGUUGGGACGUGUAUCUUAUGCGACGGAAUGUAAUCGGUUUGCGCGUUCUUCGUGCUAAAUUUGUGAUUUUGACUUUAUUUACUUAUUACAAGGAGCAGCUGUGUUCUGUGUUCUUAUUCUCCCAAUAGAUGUUCGGUGAUGUAGCUGUACGAAUUUCAACAUGAACAUCUGGUGCCGUCGCAAAUUUCAUGGAUGGAUAUCUUGACUA